rfam:Stachybotrys chartarum IBT 40288 unplaced genomic scaffold scaffold991, whole genome shotgun sequence.
CUACGUGAUGACUUCAUUAUUAGCUCUAUCUGAGUUCAUCGUGACGAAUCCUUUUCACCUUGGAGAACUGAAAU